GCGGCGUGCUUAACACAUGCAAGUCGAACGGGAUUUAGUAGACAGAAGCCUCGGUGGAAGAUUACUAAUGAGAGUGGCGAACGGGUGAGUAACGCGUGAGCAACCUGCCUAUGACAGUGGGAUAGCCUCGGGAAACCGGGAUUAAUACCGCAUAAAAUCGUGGAAACACAUGUUUCAACGGUCAAAGAUUUAUCGGUCAUAGAUGGGCUCGCGUCUGAUUAGCUAGUUGGUGAGAUAACAGCCCACCAAGGCGACGAUCAGUAGCCGGUCUGAGAGGAUGAACGGCCACAUUGGAACUGAGACACGGUCCAAACUCCUACGGGAGGCAGCAGUGGGGAAUAUUGCACAAUGGGGGAAACCCCGAUGCAGCGACGCCGCGUGAACGAAGAAGGUAUUCGUAUCGUAAAGUUCUGUCCUAUGGGAAGAUAAUGACAGUACCAUAGAAGAAAGCUCCGGCUAAAUACGUGCCAGCCGCCGCGGUAA
rnacentral:rRNA from 2 species